rnacentral:rRNA from 1 species
GGGUGAGUAACGCGUGGGAACGUGCCCUUUGCUACGGAAUAGCCCCGGGAAACUGGGAGUAAUACCGGAUGUGCCCUUCGGGGGAAAGAUUUAUCGGCAAAGGAUCGGCCCGCGUUGGAUUAGGUAGUUGGUGGGGUAAUGGCCUACCAAGCCGACGAUCCAUAGCUGGUUUGAGAGGAUGAUCAGCCACACUGGGACUGAGACACGGCCCAGACUCCUACGGGAGGCAGCAGUGGGGAAUCUUAGACAAUGGGGGAAACCCUGAUCUAGCCAUGCCGCGUGAGCGAAGAAGGCCUUAGGGUUGUAAAGCUCUUUCAGCGGGGAAGAUAAUGACGGUACCCGCAGAAGAAGCCCCGGCUAACUCCGUGCCAGCAGCCGCGGUAAUACGGAGGGGGCUAGCGUUGUUCGGAAUUACUGGGCGUAAAGCGCACGUAGGCGGAUCGGAAAGUUGGGGGUGAAAUCCCGGGGCUCAACCCCGGA